AAGAACCUUACCUACUCUUGACAUCCAGAGAACUUUCCAGAGAUGGAUUGGUGCCUUCGGGAACUCUGAGACAGGUGCUGCAUGGCUGUCGUCAGCUCGUGUUGUGAAAUGUUGGGUUAAGUCCCGCAACGAGCGCAACCCUUAUCCUUUGUUGCCAGCGGUUAGGCCGGGAACUCAAAGGAGACUGCCAGUGAUAAACUGGAGGAAGGUGGGGAUGACGUCAAGUCAUCAUGGCCCUUACGAGUAGGGCUACACACGUGCUACAAUGGCGCAUACAAAGAGAAGCGACCUCGCGAGAGCAAGCGGACCUCAUAAAGUGCGUCGUAGUCCGGAUUGGAGUCUGCAACUCGACUCCAUGAAGUCGGAAUCGCUAGUAAUCGUAGAUCAGAAUGCUACGGUGAAUACGUUCCCGGCCCUUGUACACACCGCCCGUCACACCAUGGGAGUGGGUUGCAAAAGAAGUAGGUAGC
rnacentral:rRNA from 1 species